rnacentral:rRNA from 1 species
GACGUAGGGCGCGAGCGUUGUCCGGAUUUAUUGGGCGUAAAGAGCUCGUAGGCGGCUUGUCGCGUCGGCUGUGAAAUCCCGUGGCUCAACUGCGGGCUGGCAGCCGAUACGGGCAGGCUAGAGUUCGGUAGGGGAGACUGGAAUUCCUGGUGUAGCGGUGAAAUGCGCAGAUAUCAGGAGGAACACCAACAGCGAAGGCAGCUCGCUGGGACGGUACUGACGCUGAGGCGCGAAAGCGUGGGGAGCGAACAGG